UUCUUAUUCUUCAAAAAUUAAAUUGUUUUUCAACUUCAAACUCAAAAGACGUCUAUUGACUGUCCUCAGUCUUAUAGAGUAAGAAAUCAUUUCCUCCACGCCGAUUCCAUUUCCCUCUUUUUCUAAUCAAAUUCUCUCUCUCUACUACACCCAUGAGGAGGCUAUUCGGUAGAAGUCCCGCCGGAGAGUCGCCGCAGCAAUCUUCUCCGUCACCGUCGCCUCCACAGACUUCUCCUCCAUCCUCUGUCAACAUUGCUGCCGGUCCGGCGAGACCGAUUCGUUUUGUGUAUUGCGAUGAGAAAGGGAAGUUCCAGAUCGAUCCCGAGGCCCUUGCUAUACUUCAACUCGUCAAAGAGCCUGUUGGUAUUGUCUCCGUUUGUGGUCGUGCUCGUCAAGGCAAGAGCUUUAUACUUAACCAGGUAAAUUUGUAGUAAAGUUUUUGUAUUCUUUUUAGUUAAUUAUGUUAAUUAGGGUUUGUAGUUUAGUGUAAUUGUCCGAUUAUGCAUGAGAAUGAGAGUAUUGCUAGGGUUUUGCUUGUCAGUGCUGUAGCUAGUGGUUGUUUGAUGACUAAAAUUAUCAAGCACAUUGCUCUGGAACUAGAGAUAUAGAAUCAUUAAAUCAAUCAAUCAACUCUGCCAUAAUCCAAAAAAUAGGUAGAGUUUUUAGAGUCCUGCUUAAAGUUAAAGCUAGGAGAGCAGAAACUGAGGGAAAAAAACCUAUGUUCUUAUGCGAGAUGGGAAUAAAGGCUACUAACAUCGGAAUAGCAUAUUGCUUUGGAACUGGAGAUACAGAAUCAUUAAAACGAUUGAUCAACUUUGCCUUAAUCCAAAAGAUAGGUAGAGCUCUUAGAGUCCUACUUAUAAUUUUUGAGGUAGUUCUUUCGUUAAGGCAAGGAGAGCAGGAACUGAGGGAAAACAAUCAAUGUUCUUACGCGCGAUGGGAAUAAUGACUGCUAUGAUUGGAACUCACGACCUAAGUAGUAAGUAACCUUAGAAUGGGGAUGUCAAUCUUAUACAGAAAAUACAAGCUAUUUAAAGUAACCUUGUAGGGGGGGGGNNNNNNNNNNNNNNNNNNNNNNNNNNNNNNNNNNNNNNNNNNNNNNNNNNNNNNNNNNNNNNNNNNNNNNNNNNNNNNNNNNNNNNNNNNNNNNNNNNNNNNNNNNNNNNNNNNNNNNNNNNNNNNNNNNNNNNNNNNNNNNNNNNNNNNNNNNNNNNNNNNNNNNNNNNNNNNNNNNNNNNNNNNNNNNNNNNNNNNNNNNNNNNNNNNNNNNNNNNNNNNNNNNNNNNNNNNNNNNNNNNNNNNNNNNNNNNNNNNNNNNNNNNNNNNNNNNNNNNNNNNNNNNNNNNNNNNNNNNNNNNNNNNNNNNNNNNNNNNNNNNNNNNNNNNNNNNNNNNNNNNNNNNNNNNNNNNNNNNNNNNNNNNNNNNNNNNNNNNNNGGGGGGGGGGGUUGCAUAUAGCAUUCUAUAUCAUAAAAAUAAAAAAAGAAAGAGGUAGAGCAGAAAUGUGUUUGGAAGAAUUGCUAAGCACAUUUGGGAUUAGAAUGUUGGGAAAUAUAUUUAUGGGUUGGUUGAAGGAUGUAAGGUGUACGACCUUAACUAUUGUAUAUUUGCUUCAGUUCAUCUAAACUAUCUCAUUAGGAUCAGAAAAGGAUAAUGACCAGGAGUGCGGACAUCUGAUUCACUCUCAUUUUCUGCUUACCAUAGUAAUUUGCUCAAUGUCAAAGAAAGAUUCAUUUGUUCUGAGGAUCAAAAGAGAGAUGAAUCAUAAUAAAAUGAUGGAUAAAUUAGAAACUAUGUUUUGGAGGAUUUCAACUUUCAACUGGAGUUCACCAUAUAUGGAAGCAUAUUGUUUCCUAGAUUUAGGGGUUUACGCCUCGGAUGGCAGAUCACUACUCUGAUUUUGAGAAGCAGAAAUCUGUAUCUUUUUGUGAAUCAACUCCUGAUUUAUCUAGUUUUAUGUUUUGGAAAGUUGCAGGAAUGAUAUGUUAGAGGGGAGACCAUUCGGCAUUGUUCUGUUUCCUUUGUGUUGCUUCUGUAACUUCUUUAUUUUUUGCCCUUAUGCAGUAAACUUGUCAUUGUCUAUGUAAAGAGUGUUUCUUGUACUUUUCAUACAUCAAUUACAGUCAACUUAUGAGUCAAAGCUAUAGCACAGUGGCUAUUGUUCUUUUAGAAACUCCAUUCACUUAUGUAAUUAACUAGGUCUAUUACAAUGAGAUCACAAUUAUCUUUAUUAUUAUUAACUUAUAGUUGUAUACUUUCACAUGUAAAUUACCAUAUGUAACUUAGUGCUGCUUCUUACGUUACCGAAAACAUGUAACUGAGAGCCUGUUGUAUGCCCAAUAGCUUCUUGGCAGGAGUAGCGGUUUUCAAGUGGCUGCAACUCAUCGGCCAUGCACAAAAGGUAUUUGGCUGUGGAGUUCACCUUUAAGGAGAACAGCUCUUGAUGGAACAGAAUACAACCUGUUACUGCUGGACACAGAAGGAAUUGAUGCUUAUGAUCAAACAGUUAGUUUCCACCCUUUUAACAUAUUUAUUAUUGGUUUUCUGAAGGAGGAUACUAACCUAGCACAUGCUAUAUGGCUUUUAUAUUACAUUGUUAUACAUUUUGUAUUGCUAAACUUUUCACUAAAUAAAGGAACUAGUUCUAUAACCCCAGAACAUUUUUUCCUUUGUCCUUCCUAUCCUUCCUGUCACUGACUUUUGCCUUUUAUAAAUUUCUGUUUUGUUUUGCUGUUUGACAGGGAACAUAUAGCACACAGAUAUUCUCCUUGGCGGUCCUUCUUUCAAGUAUGUUUGUAUAUAACCAGGUUAGGAGCACACAAACUUGGAUCUCGUUUGCUUUUUUUUUUUAUAUGCCAUUUUUACCCCUUUUCCCUCACGUUUCAGUGAAUUUCCUUGUUGCUACAGUCAGUUUGUUUUUUGGGUGUCCUGAUAAUCUCUUUAAUUCUUCAAUUUAGAUGGGAGGUAUCGACGAAGCUGCGCUUGACCGCCUCUCUCUUGUCACUGAAAUGACUAGACAUAUUCGUGUUAGAGCUUCUGGAGGAAGGGCCAGUGCUUCCGAGCUUGGGCAGUUCUCCCCAGUCUUCGUUUGGUUGCUUAGGGUACUUCAGAAUUCAUUUAUUAUCACUGUAGAUUUUCUUCUGUUCUUGCCUGUGAAACUAUUAAAAUACAAUUUUUCUUUUAUGCAAAAGGAUUUUUAUUUGGAUUUGGUCGAGGACAACCGCAGAAUAACUCCACGGGACUACCUUGAACUUGCUUUGAGGCCAGUUCAAGGUGGUGGGAAAGAUGUUGCUGCUAAAAACGAGGUAUUCACUUUACAUGAAUGUUUCGUUUGCUUUACUAUGCUGUAAUUAUUCAAUUUCUAUUGUAACUACCCCUGUUUUAGAAACUGGUUUCCUGAACUUGCACAUGUUUUACUAAAAAUAAAAAGAACUUGUUCAUGUUUUUAUGUGAUUUCGUAACCAUCCUUCUUUUCCUUCUAAUGAGUUAGCACCUAAUGGUUGAUUAACCAUUUGGAACUUUCGACUGCAGAUUAGGGACUCCAUUCGUGCUCUAUUCCCUGACAGAGAAUGCUUCCCCCUUGUGCGGCCUCUGAGCAAUGAAAAUGAGCUUCAACGGCUAGAUCAAAUUCCAGUCGGUGCUUAAUUUUCUCGCACAUGUUCCAUUCCCUACUAUCUUAGAUUAUAUCUGAAUUGUGAUUCUGGUUGUGGAAACCUUGAAAUAUUCUAAUUGUGGUAGCAAUUUUCACAUGCAGUUGGAAAACAUGAGGCCAGAGUUUAAAGCAGGUCUUGAUGCUUUGACAAGAUUUGUUUUUGAGAGGACAAGACCCAAGCAAGUUGGAGCAACUAUUAUGACUGGACCGCUCUUUGCUCGCAUAACUCAGUCCUUCCUGGAUGCUCUUAACAAUGGUGCAGUGCCCACCAUUACCUCUUCAUGGCAGGUUAGCAAUGAUCUUAAUGGCAGAUAUAGUGUUAUUUCCUUUCUUUUAUUCCACAUCAUUGAUUGAUGUUCUUCUCUAUAUCUGUGCAAAUGGCGUGUCCAAGAGCAAUGUUAUUCUUGUCAUCACUAACACCUUUGAACCAGAAGAGUGACAAAUAAGAAACCACUGAUUAUUGUUUCAUGAUUAUUUCUCAAUCAUUAGCUAGAUUGACAUUUUAGCACCAAGAAAGUGGCCCUGAACGAAAGGAACAAAGACAAAUAUCAGGUAGAUCUUUUAACACACCUAACCUUAGCCCUAAAUGUAGAAUUCUCAGAAACCAAGUUUUAGAAUAAGAGUUGCCGGCCCUCUCCUGUAAAGGUCGGUUAUUUCAUAACGAGGACACAGCGCCAUUGAGAUACUAUUUAUUUAUUCGAACAUGAUCUUUUAACGCACCUAACCUUAGCCCUAAAUAGAAUUCGCAGAGACCAAGUUUCAGAAAAAUAGUUGCAGGUCCUCUCCUGUUAAAGUCGGUUAUUUCAUAACGAGGACACAAAGCCAUCAGAAUAUUUUGAUUACUAUGAAGAAGAUAUUUUACCAAAUGAAGUCAAGAUCAGCCAAAAGUUGAUCCAUAGUUCCAGAUUAAAUAUAAAAAAGAGUAUUCAUCUAACUUAACAUCACACGUCAAUAAAAUAUCUCAAGUUAAGUGUUUGAUUUGGGACGCUACUCCUUGUCCUUCUUCUCUUCUUCGAUUUACAUUGAGUUUGUUCUUAGCCGUCUUGUGAAUUUGGAAUUUAAUUUUGUAAUUUCUUGUUAUUAUAUGAGAUUUUCACUGUCUCUUUGUUUCAUCAUUAUGGCUCAAAUUAUUAAGUCAGGGAACAACUGACACAUUUGGUUCUGCUCAGUGUCCAUUUUCAAGGGCAUUAAGUCUAAAAAUUAAAAAGUACAUAAUGAGGACAUCAGUUGAUGUCUGAUGAGCGACAUGCAAGUGUCCGAUAUCUGACAUGACACUGAUAUGUAAUCAUACUAUGGUGUCCGUGCUGGGAAAAUUCUUCCAUGUUAUUUAUUUACCUCGCUUUGUGCACAAGUGAAUUAGUCAUCUUCAGAAUUUCUAUGAUAUCCGCUAUUCAUUUUUCAAUUUAAGAAAAAAGCAAGGGAAGGGAAAUUCGAUGCAAGUGAAACAACAUGACAAACCUACAAGUGAAUGAUUUUGGUAGAAUCUUAUGGUUGUUGUUAAACUCCCAAGUCCAAGUGUUACUGUGUUAGUUCAUUCCGUAUAUCCAGCUCAUGCAUUAUAAUGCAUGCUGAUGGAUGUUUUCCUUUUUGAUUUCUGCAGAGUGUUGAGGAAGCUGAGUGUCAAAGGGCAUACGAUUCGGCUGCUGAGAGAUACAUGUCUUCAUUUGAUCGUUCCAAGCCUCCGGAGGAAGUAAGUAUUACUUUAGUUUCAUUGAUAACAUUUUCUGGUUGUGUCUAAUAUUUCAAUCAUUACAGGGUGCACUAAGAGAAGCACAUGAAGAUGCAGCUCAAAAGGCCAUGGCAGAAUUUAAUUCUACUGCUGUGGGUGCUGGAUCCAUCAGGAUGAAAUAUGAGAAGCGUCUUCAAAAUUUCAUAAAAAAAGCGUUUGAGGUUAAGUUUUUCCUCCACCCUUUACUUCAAAUAUUGAGGAUAAAGUGCAUAUGAGUGAUAUAAGCAUACAUGAGUGUGUCAUAAUACAGCCCCUAUUGGAGGAUGAGCUAAUACUAAUUUUUAUUUUGAUUCCACACCAUACUUACCCCCUAAAAUACUAAAAGGAAAUUUGGUAUGCUAGAAAGUUCACAAAUAACCAUUUUUAUGACUGCUAUUUGAAAAUUAAGUCAUAGCUCCAAAACUAAUUGGAAUUUAGGCACUUUAUUAUGCGGAAAUAAUAUUUGGACAAAACUACCCUCAACUUUAAAAAGCAGCUGAGACCAGCUAUUCCAUCUUUUCUACUUUUUUUGAACUCCAUGACAAGGUCCUGGAGUUCUACUUGUACAAGUUUGAAAUCCAGGACACUGCUGAAUUUAUGCAAAUCAGUGGAUUUCCUUUAUGUGGAGGUUUUCAUCUAUAAAAGUGGAUUUCUCUUGCAACCAUGGAGGGUAUUUUCUGUUUUUCAUAUAAUGGCAGAACCUAUUUUGCACAGAAGUCAAGCCUUAGAGGUUUCAUUUGAUCUUUUUGUUUUUUGAUAGGUAAUGUUAAGAUAUUUUUAUUGGAAAACCCAACAUUAGGACAUCUGAUCUUCAUUUUGAAUUUGUGAAAAAAAAAAGAGAAAGACGAGAGAAAUAAAUGAAUUAGUGAAAGAUACAUUCAAGACUUCUCUAGAUAGUAAGGAAAAGUUCCUACUUAACAGGGUUCUUAAUAAUUAAUCUGUACAAUUGUUCUGCAUUUUUUGGAAGUGUACAGUUAUGUUGCUUAGGCUGUGUAUUCUCAUUACUUUAAAUUUGGAAUGGUGAAAUACUCUAGUAAAUCUCAAUAUUGAGUUUCAGUCAAUUGCCUGGUUACGAAGUUAUUAUUGCUUCUUUCUUUGUACAAGUGACCUGUGGAAUAAGGAUCAUAAUUCUCUCCAUUUACAACUCUUUUCUCUGCCAACCAGGUGAUAAUUGAGUCAAAGUUUAGACAUGUGUGUUAAUGCCUGUGUGUUUGAUCUUUUUGUUUCUUCCUAGACUAGUGCCUGUUCUUGUGUAGUAUCGGUUCUGUUCUUUUCAGUCUUAUAUCAGUACAUGGGCCCCACCUGCCCGCAUGAUAUUGACUAUAUAUUAUAUGGACCGGCCCAUUGACAUUCUGUCUGGUAUCCAACUAAAGGUCUAUGGUCCAUCAAAUGGAAUGACUUUUCAAUCUAGAUAGUUUUGUCAGGAUGUUUAUGGGUGUGAGUAUCUACUCUAUGCUACUGAAUAGCUCUUCCUAAUCUCUGAUUCGGUUUUCAUGUUGAUAACAGGAGCUUAAAAAGGAUGCCUUUAGGGAGGCUUAUCUACAAUGUUCAAAUGCCAUACAGGACAUGGAAAAGGAACUGAGGUUGGCUUGCCAUGCUCCCGAUGCAAAUAUAGAUAGUGUGCUUAAGGUAAGCCCUUAUUCACUGUAGAUAAUCGCCUAUUUUUAGGUGGCUAAACUGGAAUUCAGGUUUCUUUGUCAAAAAAAAAAACUGGAAUUCAGGUUUUUUGAGUUACCAAUGUCCUAAAUGCAUAUGCUAUAUGCAGGUUCUUGAUCGUCUAGUGUCCAAGUAUGAAGCAACUUGUCAGGGUCCUGAGAAAUGGAGAAAAUUGAUCGUCUUCUUACAACAAAGGUUUGUAUAUUAAUAAUUCUUUAUUGAGGCACUUAGAAUUGGAAAUGUAUAUGUCACAUCACAUCACAUUGAUUUUCCAGCUUGGAAGGUCCACUUUUUGAUCUCAUCAAGAAGCAAACAGACCGACUUGGAUCGGAGAAAACUAGUCUUGCAUUAAAGUGCCGCUCCAUUGAGGAUAAGAUGAACUUACUUAACAAACAACUGGAAGCUAGUGAGAAGUAUAAAUCCGAAUAUUUGAAGCGUUAUGAAGACGCCAUCAACGACAAGAAACAGCUUGCAGAUGAUUACACGAGUCGUAUCACAAAUUUGCAGAGUAAAUAUAGUUCAUUGGAAGAGAGAUAUUCAAGCUUAUCAAAAACACUCACUUCAGCUAAACAUGAGUCCUCAGAAUGGAAAAGAAAAUAUGAACAACUUCUGUUGAAGCAGAAGGCUAAUGACGACCAAUCAAGUGCAGAAGUAUCUGUUCUGAAGUCCAGAACUGCUGCCGCUGAAGCAAGGCUGGCUGCUGCCAAAGAGCAAGCUGAAUCGGCUCAAGAGGAGGCGGAGGAGUGGAAACGCAAAUAUGACAUUGCCGUCAAGGAAGUUAAGAAUGCUCUUGAGAAGGCAGCAUCUGUUCAAGAGCGCGCAAACAAGGAAACUCAAUUGAGAGAAGAUGCUUUAAGGGAUGAAUUUUCAAGCGCUCUGGCUGAUAAGGUGAUUAUAUUGCUAUGCAUAUUGAUUAAAUUUAAAAGUGCUGCUUUGUUUCAUUUUUCUUCUCUUCCCUUUUAGAAAUAUCAUUUUGUGAUUCUGCUUGUUUAGUUUUCCAAUAUGAUAUUUGAAGUUCUCUUUGUUCAUGAAACUGCAGGAAGAAGAAAUUAAAGACAAGACAUAUAAGCUUGAGCAGGCUGAGCAGCGUUUAGCAACACUGACUUUGGAGUUGAGGGUGAGUUUCUGCUCUUUGUAAACCAACUUAACUUUUAUUUGCACUGAUCUUGGAUUGAAAAAAGGUGAGGGUGGGAUGGAGCAAAGUAAUGGGAAAAAACAGGGAGGGAGGGGGAGGGACACUCUUUGUUAUUUUAAAGUAGGCUCUAUGGAAAGAGGAUUCAAACGCGGUGCACUAUAAAAUAAGACCAAUAGAGACUUCAUAUGGGACCAUUUGAACUGCAGGUUGUAAUGCUCGUAGUGUUUUUUGUUUUCUUGAGCUUGUGAUGUUUUUUGUGUUGGUCCUCUGAAGUAGCUUUAGCAUUUGCAGUGCUGACUUUCACUUGGCGGUUAAAUUACUUCAGUUACAUGUCCUCAAAAAAACUUCAGUUAUGUGUAACCUUGUGAAUUGAAAGGAUAGUUUGCUAUCAACUUUUGGGAUUGAUACCAACUUGUCUCUAAUACAAUUGGGUAUCCAGGGUGUAAAACUAUGAAUAUUUACACUCAUUAUGUAUGUGGUAAUUUAAGAGAUUUACAUGGGUAUUAGUGCUAAUGACUGCCCUAAUGGAGCUAGAUGGAUACAUAGGAUUCAUGUAGCCGAAUCCAACUAGUUUGGGAUUGAGACACUCUUUAUUGAUUGUAAUAGUACUAUUCAGUAUUCACUAUUCUAUUCUUACCAUUAUAAAAAACAAAGAGAGUAAUACUAUUUGACUGUUUUGUGAUUAUUACUUCUUACAGACUGCUGAUUCAAAGGUAAGGAACUAUGGUCUAGAAGUGUCAGCCUUAAAGGUUGAAAUCAAGGAAUUGGGUGAAAGGCUAGAGCAUAUAAAUGCUACUGCACAAUCAUUUGAAAGAGAAGCUAAGAUUUUGGAACAGGAGAAGGUUCAUCUGGAGCAGAAGUACCGGUCAGAGUUUGAUAGAUUUGAGGAUGUUCAGGAUAGAUAUAAAUCAGCUGAAAGAGAGGCAAAAAGGGCGACUGAGCUGGCUGAUAAAGCAAGGGCUGAAGCAGCUGCGGCCCUGAAAGAGAAGAAUGAAAUUCAACGGUUAGCUAUGGAAAGAUUAGCUCAGAUUGAGAAGGCUGACAGAGCUAUUGAAAAGUUAGAGAGGGAAAGAGAAGACUUGGCUGAUGAAGUAGGGAGGUAUCAUCGUGCUGAGAAGGAUGCAAGGUCAAAAGUUGCAAUGCUGGAGGCCCGAGUAGAAGAAAGGGAAAAGGAAAUUGAGAUGCUACUGAAAUCAAAUAAUGAACAAAGGGCCAGUACUGUGCAAGUCCUUGAAAGUCUGUUGGAGACUGAGCGUGCAGCGCGGUCUGAAGCAACCAAUAGGGCGGAAGCACUCUCUCUUCAGUUGCAAGCUACGCAAGGAAAGCUAGAUCUUCUUCAACAACAGUUAACUGCAGUUCGGCUGAAUGAAACUGCACUGGAUAGCAAACUUAGAACUGCUUCCCAUGGCAAACGUGCCAGGAUAGAUGAAUACGAAGCUGGAAUUGAAUCUGUCCAUGACAUGGAUACAAAUGAUAGACCAAUCAGAGGAAAUAAGAGGUCCAAGAGUACAACCAGUCCCUUAAAGUAUACCUCCCCAGAAGAUGGAGGUUCUGUAUUCAGAGGAGAUGAUGAUGGUCAUAGUCAACAAACAAAUGGUGAAGAUUAUACGAAGUUUACAGUGCAGAAACUAAAGCAGGAGCUUACAAAGCAUAACUUUGGUGCUGAACUGCUCCAACUGAAGAACGCAAACAAGAAGGAUAUCCUAGCUUUGUAUGAGAAAUGCGUCCUCCAGAAAUCAUAGCUUUCAGCAUGCCGAGUUGUGUAGAAAGGUUGUAAGUAUCUCAGUUAUAGUCAAAAGCAUACAACUUCUGGAUUAAAAAUUUAGGUGUUGGCAUCCUGAAAACAUCCUUUUAAGUCCUAUAGGGCUUAUAUCCCCAUUAGGUAGCUACACAAUCUUGCUAAAUGCUGCUGCCGCCAUCGGGGUUUUCGUGUGACAUAAUAUUUUUCAUUCUGGUGUGCACUCUAACUUAGGUAUUUUGUUUGAGCCUUCCUAGUGUGGCAGUGUUAGGAAGAUGGUUUAGAGAGAUUUUGAAAGUGAGAUUUCCAGACCUCCCUUAUCGUCUCUUUCUUUCUCCAUUUGUGCAGUUAUUGAUGUUUAGUACUUAAUCCUCGUGUGAUUAGUAGUAUUAGUAUUCUCUUGAUUUGCUAAAAUUGACAAGUGAAGUAGUUAUUUAAUAUUUCCUCCAUUCACUUUUACUUGUCACGUUUUGUUUCCUGAGAAGUUUUUGUAGUCAAUAAAUGUUGUGUUAUAUUUAAGAUCAUAAAUUUUAAAAUGUCUCGUUUUUAAGAAUUUAAACUUAAUGUAUAGUUAUAAACUAUGUUUCAUAAAUUGAAACGGAAUGAGUAUUCAAUUUCCCCCUUAAACAAGAGUGGAUGUACAAUAUGAGUUAAGAGUUUAGUUAAAUUCAGUAGUUUUGGUUCAAAUGUUAUGUGAAGAAAUUUAUCAAAUAUAUACAAAUAUUAAGCAAAACUAUUUAUGUAUUUAUUUCUUUAUGUUAUAAGAUCUUAUAUAUAUUUCCCUUACUCUAUAUAUAAGAAUAUUUGGUAUCUUAGUCGAUUCUCUGUAUAAGAUCUUUUUAUUUAUUUCCAUCUUAGUUAUGUUUUCUUAGUUUAAUUUGAAUCCUCUUUCUAUAUAUCGACUCCAAAUUGAAAAAAAAAGACCAAAUUAUUUUUCGAAAUCAUUAUUUGACAAGUAGUUCAAUAAUAUUUCGAAUUCAUAUAAUUUAAAUUUUAGACCCGUCUUUUCCUCUUCACAAUUAUGUAAAUUGUAGGACAUACAAUUAUUUAAGGACUUUUCAAUAUUAUUCAAAGGUAAGCGACAAGCUUCCCGAUUAUUUUUUUAUACUACAAGUAUAGUCUUAUUUAUCAAUAUUUGGUAUCUAUUGAUCCGUCUGAAAAAAAAUAAAAGUGAUUAAGAAAUGACAAGCUAUGAAAAGUGGGAGUACUAUAUUCUCCAUUCAUUUUUCUGGUUCGGUUUUGAUUUUGCACGCUUCUUAAAAAAUAUAAUUAAUAUGAGAAUUUUAUUAUAGUAUCCAUAUUAAUUAUGUUUAAAAUAAGGUCUUAAAAAAUGAUUUGACAAAUAAGUAAUUAAUGUUAAGGAUUAAACAUGAAAAAGAUACUCCUAAUAAGUAAUUUUUUUUCUUGAUAUGUUAAAAAUGACAGGUAAAAUUAAAAAUCUAUUUUUAAAAUAAUGAACAAAUAAAAAUAAACGAAGAGAGUACAUUAUAUUAUACUAUACAAGAGACAAUCAAAGAGACAUAACAAAUUAAAGGGGGUCCAUUAACAAUUAAGAUAAGUUAACUGCAUUCCGUCCUAUGAGAGGAUCGAUAGAAUUUCUUCACUCUUAAUUUGAAAUUUUUGAAUAUUAGAUAUGAAAAAUAUAACGUGAGAAAUUAUGUUGCAAGUCCAUUUCCCUUAAAUGAGCCACGUGGCGUGAAUCUAAAUUCAUCGAGAGUUCUUCUUCGCUUUUCCAUUAAAUGCGCCUUAUGUAAUACGAAUCCUAAUUAGUUGGGACACCAUAGGAAAAAAAUAUGUUAUAAGUCCCUCUUCUUUAAAUGAGCCUAUUUAUGUGACACAAAUAUAAUUAGUUGGGAGCACUUCUCGAUUUCUUAAAUGUGUCUUAUGUGAUGGAAAAUCAAAUUAGUCAGAUCCUUAAUACAAAAAAAAAAUCAUGUUAGAAGGCUUUUUUUCCUUAAAUGGGUCUAUGCAUUGCAAAUCUGAAUCAAUCGGGAUCACUUCUCCAUUAUAUAUCACAAUUCUAAAUUAAAUUAACCUAUGUGACGUAAAUUUAAAUUAAUUGAACGACAAAUAUACAAGUACAGAACACUAAUAGAAACAUAAAGAAAAUUAGCAUUCCUUGGUCCACAAGAAAAAUAACAACAAUAAAUCAAUUACACACUUUGUCCUAUAUAUUGACAAAUUUAUACUGUAACAAAUAUCUCCAUAAUUUGAUUAUUUCUUUCCCCUCAACAACAUUCCAUAAUAUUAAGGCACUACUAGCAAUACAAGAUGCAAAGUCAAAGUCCAUAAAAAUUAUUUACAAAUUCUUAACUCAAAUGAACAACAACAAAAAAUAAUCAAAGAUUCAAUAAUGUUUUGUAUAUAUAAACUGUUAACAUUUUUCAAACAUAAAUUCCACCUAAGCAUGACAAUAAUGUUUUGUUGACUUAAAACUUAUAAUAAUCCAACUUCUAAGCUAUUCAAAAUAUUAGCAACUUGUACAAUUGAUGGCCUACUUUUUCUUGAAUUUCCAACACAAGCUAAUGCAACUUUAGCUAAUCUAACAAGUGGCCUAAUAUCACUAGGCAACAUAAGUCUAUUGUCCAAAAAUUCACCAAAUUUCAUUUCUUUAAUCAAUGGCAAUGCCCAUUUCACAAGUAAACUUUCUUGAUCACAUUUCCUUCCACUCAACAACUCCAACAAAACAACACCUAAUCCAUACACAUCACUUUCUUUAGAACAACCCCUUUUUUCAUUACCAAUCCAAUAUUCAUCAUCAACAUAUCCCAUUAACCCUAAUUCCCUUUUAUCAUAACAUGUCAAGAAAAAAUACAAACCAUAGUCACAAACCCUAGCACAAAAAUUGACAUCUAUUAAUAUAUUCGAGGGUUUAAUGCAACCAUGCACUAUAUGUGGUGCCAUAACUUCGUGUAAAUAUUCUAUUCCUCUAGCUAUACCAGCAGCAACUCUCAACCUACAAUUCCAAUCUAAUAAGGACGUCCCACCACUACCAGCACCACCAUCAUGAUCGCGAUUUUGAUGUAAGUAGAAAUCAAGACUCAACAUACCUCCAAAUUCUGUUACCACGAUUCUUUCCCCAGGAGCCUCAGAAAACCCUAAAAUUGGCACAAUGUUAGGGUGAUAAGCUAAAGAAAGCCAUUUCAUCAUCGAUGUGAAACCAAAGCCAGCAUUACUCAAUACAAGCCUAGGAUGGAUCCUUUUUAUAGCUACUUGUUGAUCUCCAUUUGGUAAUAUACCUACAUAUACACUUCCUAUACGUCCUUGACCGAUGAUUCUUCGAUAAUUGAAUCCAUCCGUAGCUCCAUGAAUGUCCAUUAAUGAAUAGGAACAUGCAAUUUGCUUUGUUGGAAGAGUUUCUUCAGCCUUGAUUGGCUUUUUCUUGCAACAAAUGAAGAGUAGGAUAACAAGACAUAUGAUGAUAAUUGCAAGUAUAGCCAAAAUAACAUUAUAAAUAAUUAUGAUCUCUCCACCACUCAUCUAUAAGAUUUUUUUUCUAUAUAUUUGGUGUUGUUGUGAUUUAAGUUGAGAGUAUUUAGAAGAAAAAAAAUUGGCUAGUUUAUAGAGAAUGAAGUGAGAGUAUAUAUAUAUUUUUUAAUGUUUUAUAUAUAUAAUAAAAUGGAAGUAGAAAGAGAAAAAAAAGUGGAGUAUUUUAUUGGACCUUUGGUGUGUACUCUUUGAAAAAAAGAAAAGUUGAUUUGGUACUCCCUCUAUCCAUUUUAUGUGGCAUCGUUUGACUUAGCACGAUAUUUAAGAAAUUAAAUAAAAAAAGAUUUUUUAAAUUCGUAGUCUAAAACAAUCAUUAGAUAUUUUUUGUGUGGCUGUAAAUUAUUUCAUUAAAAAUAAAAAAAUAAUUUUAAAAUAAAAUUAUUUUUAACUAUAGUAAGAUGAUACUCUUUUUGAAAUGGAUUAAAAAGAGAGUGCGCUAUGAGUGAGAGAGUAUCAUAAUUGGGAAAGAAAGUUGAAAAAAUCUAAAGGAUUAAUUUGGCAUACUUUUAGUUGAGGGUUGGCUGCUAACUGUCAUUUGACAAAAGUAUAGGGUGUUUGGCAAAAUUUCUAAUUGUGAAAACAAAUCUAUUCUUGUAAAAUAGACAUUUUUUUAAUAUUCAAUAGUCAAAAUUUACUUGCUUAAUAAUUUAAGUAUGCGUUAGUUAGAUCCUAUUGAAAGAGGAAGCGUUAUACUAAUAAUUUUUCUAUUUUAGGAUUCAAAUUCAGAGUUUCUAAUGAACAUAAAAAUUAGGAUAUUAUUUUGUUUUUAUAAUUGUUUCAUAAGAUCAUUAUGAACAUUAUAUUUUCUUAGUUAUAUUCUUAUUCUAUGCCUAAAAAGGUUAAGUAUUAAUAUUUUCUUAGUUUUAUCAUAUUCUUUAAAAUUUCCUACUAUUUGAAAAAUUACAAUCCCUACUCUCUUCUAUUAUACAUCACUUUAUGCGAUGUAUAGGUCGGAUACAUCACUUUACGUGAUGUAUCGAGACGUUGAGUGAUGUAUCCAAAAUCGUGACGCAAUUCAUCUAGACGCUGAGCUACGAUGUAUCUGAAACCGGGACGCUAUGUAUUGGGACUUUUUGGGAUGUAUCCGGAUUUCACCAAAUUUAAGGGAUUUUUGCAAUUUGAAAAAGAAUAGGAACUAGAUGUAAUUAGCUCUUAACACUAUAAAAUUUGUGUAAAAUUCUCAUAUAAUUAAUAUUAUUAUUUUUUACAGUAAAACUCUUUUGGAAAAAUAAUUUUCCCAACUUUAAGUUUCAAUGUGUUCAAUUUUUUCAACGGGUACAAAAGUUUGAUAAAAUCCUAUCUCAUUAUAAGAAAAGGUCACUCUUGCCUCUUAUUAAUUAGCAAAAAAAAAAGUCAUGGUUUUGAUGUUACCUUUCUCUUUUUCUUUUUUCUUUUUUCUUUUUCCUUUUCUAAUUGAAUUUGCAUCUGUUAUUUUUCAAAAAGAAAAAGCAAGCAUCAAUAAUCAUGAUAGCAAAAUGUUAAACUAUGGUCUUGGAUUCUUUUUAUUUUUCCUCCAGUAUUCGAUAUUCAUAUUAGUGCCCUAAUUAAUUUAAAUUUGCACAACGUAACACCUUAAGAAGAAAUUUCCUAUAUUUGUAGAAAUAGAGUUCAGUUGCCAUGUUUUGGCCUUGUCUUUAAGAAAUAACCAAUGUCAUGGAGUUUCAAAUCUCCAGAUAAAAUUUAAUGCAUGGUAACAACAACUAUAUUUCAAUUACGUACAUAGGCCAAAAGGUAUCUACUUGUCCUUUUUCUGUUAUUUUUUUAAUAUCUCAAAUUCGAAAAUUCUAAUUAAAAUUGAAGGGAUAUUAUCCAUUCUACUGCAAUCCUAAAUGUUAGCUAGAACAUCAUUUCCCGCUUUAUUUAUUUAUUGUGACAACUCCUUGUUUCCUAACCUAUUAUAGCUUUUUGGGGCCAAUUUUUUGGUUUCUUUUUGGCUCUUGAGUCUUAGUUAUAAGAAUUUAGUUACACCAACCCCAGCUUCCAUUCAACCAACCUCAUCUAACCCAAAGUUUCAUAUAUGAAAAUUAGUUUAUUUAAUAUACAAACUUGCUGGAUUAUAAUAUACAUUUCAUUUAAAUUUUACGCGAUACAAAUCAAUGUUUAUAUCGACAUCGAACGAAAAUAAAUAAAUAAUAAUACAUAUUCUAAACUGUCAAAAAUUCAUUAUUCAUUGCUUUUUGAUGAAUAUACACUACAUUAUUCUUCUUUCUAAAGAAAUAAGAUCUCUUUUUGUCUGCUUCCUGGUGUUAUGUCACUAUUAGAAUUUAGGCUUUUCCCACUACGAAUUAAUAAAAAAUUUGUAUUAUAAAAAUAUGAUUUUUUUUUCUCACCAUUUUUUAACGAACCAGCUCACUACACAACAUAUAAUGGAAAACAGAUUUUCAUUGAAAUACGAUGAAGUUUCCUAAAUUUUUUCACGUGGAAACAAUAUUGUAUAUUUUUCAGUAGUGUAUGAAAACAUUUUAAAGAGUGAGUACAAGCUAAAUAACAACGUCAAAAUCGAGUAUCCAUGCCUUUGCCCCAUAAAUCACCUUUUUGUUCAUUCACUUUGUGAGAGCCCACACAUCUAUGGGCCUUCAAGUGAAGGGCAGCCCAAUAAAGUUUUUUUUGGUCCAAAUCUCAUCAGGGAAUUAAGAUGAUUAGCUUUGCUAACGUUCAAAGCGAAUUUAGUUAUUAGUGAUGGAGUCAACUUUUCACUAAGGGAUAUCAAAAUAUUAAAUAAGAGACCACGGAGAAGCCUAGGGAGUCAAUAUAUAUACCUAAAAAAUGUUUUUAUCUAGCUAUACAAUAUAAUUUAUGAUGAAAUCGUGUCAAUUAUACAUGCUGUUCUGUUACUACUAGUUUUUAAUCCGUUCAUAACUAUCUACCUAAGAAUUGUUAAUUAAAAAAGAUGCAAAUUUCAUAAAAGUUAAAAAAAAAUUGCUAAUACAACUGCUAAAGUGGCAUGGGUGUUAUCAUAUAUCCAAACUAAUUUCAUCAUCCAUACAUUAAAGUGGUAAACUUUUACCUACUUUUUUAUAACUAUAAGCACCAAAUAUGGAGGAUAUAAUCAUCCUUAGUAUCAAACAAAUAACUUUUUACAACUUUUUGUUGUUGUUGUUGUUGUGAUGUAUAAACAUUGUUAUGUUAUUUUUCUGUUACAAAACUAAGAUUUUACAACUUUGAUACAAUAAACUAAAAAUUAAGUGAUCAUAUCUGAAAUCAAUUCUUUCCUUCACUCUAUUAUAAAUAGGGGCAAAACUAGAGCAUAGAAAACACAUUCAGUAGAAUUCGAUAAUUUCAAUUCCAACCUUUUUAUUUGUCUUAAGUAGAAUCCAAAUUAUACGCUUUAAAUCCUGACUCCGUCUCUCUGCUUAUAAAUGCUUCUUGACACACGACAAAAAAAUCCAACACAAACUUGAAAUGGAGAUUAAAGUGGUACAACAAGAAAAGAAAUCUCCCCUCUUAGAAGAAAACUUAGAAUUACCAGAAGUUGAAAAAAACAUUAUACAAAAAGCAAUUAGUCAAACAUUUCAAAGCACAUCACACUUAGCCAAUCUUCUACCUACUGGUUCUGUUCUUGCUUUUCAACUUUUGUCACCAAUAUUUACAAAUCAAGGCAAUUGUGACAAAAUUUGUAAAAUUUUAACUAUAUCACUUGUUACACUAUGUGGACUAUCAUGUUUUAUAUUGAGUUUUACUGAUAGUUUUAAAGACAAGAAAGGGAAAAUUAUCUAUGGAUUCGCGACGAUACGAGGUUUGUGGAUAAUUGAUGGAUCAAUAAGAAUUCCAAAUCAAAUUGCAAGGAAAUAUAAGUUGAAAUUUAUUGAUUUCUUGCAUGGUUUUAUGUCCAUGUUGGUUUUUGCUGCUAUAGCUUUGUUUGAUCAGAAUGUGGUGAAUUGUUUUUAUCCAAAGCCUUCUGAUGAAAUAGAGGAGUUGCUUGUUGCUUUGCCAAUUGGAGUUGGAGUUAUUUGUAGUAUGUUUUUUGUUGUGUUUCCAACAAAACGCCACGGGAUUGGUUUUCCCCUCACUUCUAAUUAAUGUGGUCGGUGAGGAUUCAUACAAUCAACCUCGACUUGAUUGGGAUUGAGAUAUUGUUGUUGUUGUUGUACUAGUUGCAUAUUGCUACUUGAAUGAGGUGGUGCAUGUGUUUUUUUUUGUUGAAAACGUUAUGGAAUUGGUUUUCCUCUUACCUCUAAUUAAUAUGAUCAGUGGGAUUCAUAUAGCUGAUCCUGACUUGUUUGAAAUUGAGAUGUUACGUUGUUGUUGUUGUUGUACUAGUCACAUAUUUCUUCUUGGAUGACGUGGUGUAUGUUCAUUUCUUUGGGUCUUGAUUUUUGAAUGAGAAAUUAUAGUGUGUUUUUUUGUUGAAAAUGUCAUGGGAUUGAUUUUCCCCUCACCUCUUAAUAUGGUUGGUGAGGAUUCAUACAAGCGACCUCACCCUUGUUGGGACUAAGAUGUUGUUGUUGUUCUAGCCGCAUAUUGCUACUUGAAUGAGGUGGUGCAUGUGUUUAUUUAUGUCGUUUUUGUUUUUUGAAGGAGAAAUUAAUAUUGUGUGUUUUUGUUGAAAACGUCACGGAAUUGGUUUUCCCCUCACCUCUAAUUAAUAUGAUCAGUGAGAUUCAUAUAGUCAAUCUCAUUUUGUUUGACACUAAGGUGUUGUUAUUGUUGUAUUAUUCACAUAUUGCUACUUGAAUGAGCUGGUAUAUGUGUCUAUUUAUUUCGUUCUUGUUUUUUUGAAUGAGAAUUUUGUAAAUUUUUUUUGUUGAAAACAUCACGGAAUUGAUUUUCCCUUCCCCUCUAAUUAAUAUGAUCAGUAGGAUUCAUAUAGUUCAUCCCAAUUUGUUUGGGACUGAGAUGUUGUUGAACUAGUCCCAUAUUUCUUCUUAAAUGACGUGGUGCAUGUGUUCAUUUAUUCCGUUCUUGUUUUUUUGGAUGAGAAAUUUGUAGUAUGUUUUUUGUUUUGUUUACUACAAAGUGUCAUGGAAUUGUCUUUCCCUACCCAGUGAAUAAUAUGAUAAGUGAGGAUUCGUAUAGCCGACCUAAAUUAUUAGGGACUGAGACAUAGUUAUUGCUAUACUAUUCGCAUAUUGCUUCUUAAGUGACUUGAUGCAUGUGUUCAUUUAUUUCGUUCUUAUUUUUGAAUUUGAAUGAGAAAUGCAUGUGUGGUAAGUUUUCUAUUUUUUUUACAGUAGUUUCACGGAGUUCACUUUUCCCUCACCUCUAAUUAACAUGGUCAGUAAGUAAUUAUAUAACUAAUCAACGUGUUUCACAAUUCAUUACGAAAACUUUGAACUUAUUUUUUUAUGUAAUAUACAGUACCAAAUUAAAAUACACUAAUAUUACUAUAAAAAUACAUUUUGCACUAAUAGGACUUACAUUUAAGAGCAAAUUACAGAAAUACACAUCUUUUAUUUCACUUAUUUCUAUUAUCCCCUAUUACUUUUAAAAAUCUCCAAAAUCUCUUAUUUCUUUAAUGUAUCCGAGCUAUAUAUUAUGUAUCCGAGCUAGUUUUAAUGUAUUCGAGUCAGUAUUUAAUGUAUCCGGGCUAGUUUUUAAUGUAUCCGAGACAAUAUUUAAUGUAUCCGAACUACAUAUUAAUGCAUCCGAGCUUCAAUUAUUGUAUCUGGUUUUUUUAAUUUUUAAGGGAUUAAUGUAAUUAGAAACUUAUUAGGGACAUAUUGUAAUUUCAUAUUAAAACUAUGAGAUUUAUGUAAUUUACAAUUUUAAAUGCUUAUUACUCAAAACUCUUCAGCUUUUUGUAGACCAGAUUAGAUGGGCCUCUUAAUGGGCUCGUAUAUAACCUCAUUCAAAUAUGGGCCACAAUCUAAUAUCCUUCCGGGAAAAUUACUUAGAUGAAUACUUUUUAAUACAUAAUUGGAAAAAUUAUUGAAAUACACGUCUUAUGUUUCUCUUAUUUCUAAUAUUCCCUUCUAUUUCUAAAAGUAAAACUUACAUAAAUCCCAUAGUGUAAAACCUAAAUUACAUCAUAUCCCUACUCUUUUCUAUUUUACAAAAAUCCCUUAAAAUAUCAGCCAUCCGGAUACAUAAGUUCAUCCGGAUACAUUAAUUGUGAUACAUUAUAAAACUUGUCUGUUGUGCUUAAUAUGAAAUAUUAACAUAAAAUUGAUUUUCUUUCCAUAAAUCACGCAGAUCUGAUUGAUAUCAAUCCAUUCCAAUCUGUAACAACUUCACAAAAUUCAAAAUUCAAAUUUUCAUCUUCUCAAUCAAUUUGAAAUCGUAAAAGUUCCACAAGAAGAAUUUCCCUUCUGUGAUGACCCAGAAGGUCAUUUUUGGAAAUUUUGAACUAUUCGUUUAACUUGAGUUAAUUAAUCGAUAGUUAGUGGGCUAAAGUGAUCAUUUAUUUAAGACCCUAUACCAUUAGGACCAUGUGUUAAAAAUAAAUUAGAGUUAAAUAGGGUUUAAUAAAAUAAAUUUCUUUUCCUUUUCAUUCUUUGCACGAGUUCAUGCGACGUCCCACUAUCAAAACAAAAAACGGAGAAGAAGAAAACAGUUAACAAAGAUUGUUCAGGUAAGGUUUAAUUAGAAUUCUCAUCUUUGUAUACGUGUUGGUCUAUCUAUGUAGUAAUUUCUUAAGAAUCGGAUAGAAAUUCAUAAUAAUGAUUAUUAUAUUAAUGAAGUGAAGAUGAGGAAUUUAAUUUUUAGAAUCUUUAAGCCAUAUGUGGCUGCCGCAUUUGUUGGUGGGUAUGGUGUCUUUAAAGGUGAUAUUAUUACUACGAAAGAAUUUGUUAUACUAUUAUUUACCUAGCUACUAUUGAAAUAGUUCUCUCGAUUAGUACUUUAACAAAUUAGUAUAUAUGAAUGAAAAUUGGUAUAAUUCUUGAAUCCUGCAAAUUGUUUCAUUGUUGGAAGUUAUUUGGAGGCUAGUUGAGACAAAUUAGUGGCUGGCAUUAGAGAAGGCAGUGAAUGAUAAUAAAAAAAAAUAAUUAUUGAAUAGAAGUAUUGGAUGAGAGAAUAAGGUAUAUUGUUGUAUGUUUGUAUCGUGAGUUUGUUCUGGAAAUUUAAAGGCAAGUAUCGGGAGUUAAUUGAAUAAGUAAUGGUGAGCCAAUCAUUGGUUGGAAUAAAGGGUGUCAAAAAGGAAGGAAAAUAAAUAUCUAUAUGAUGGUGAAAUGUUAAUUGGCAUCAAGAGUUACGAACUUGAUUAUAAAGUCCAGCGAAUUUUUAGGUCAAGGCUAAACCUAUAGUAAUAUGGGCGUUGUUAGUUUCGAAAUCUUAUUAUGAAUAUGUACUUGAAUAGAUUGCAUUGAUUUGGAAGCUCAACGAAAAGGGAAGGCUCAAGGCUCGGAGUGAUUGUUCGGUUAUUUGAGGCAAGUGGAUUUCUAAACCCUUGUUAAGCGUAUGGAAUUCGUGUAUUUCCUUGUGGUAUAUGUUUAGGAGGAAUGAGAAUUGGUGAUGGGUUGACUUGUCCAUGUUGAAUAAUUCUAGUGAUGGAAAAAGGGUAAUAAAAUGGCUUGUUGUUUAUUUGUUGAUGUUGUGUCACGAUUGUAUUGUUGUGAAUUGUACAUUGAUAUUAAAUUGGUCAUCUCCUAAUUAUUUGUGUGAACAUGUUAUUUGCAUUGUUCUGAGGCAUGGUUGUGAUAAGUGUUACUCCCUCCGUCCCAUUUUAUGUGAUGUACUUUGAUUUGGCACAAACUUUAAGAAAAAUGGAAAGACUUUUAAAAUUUGUGGUCCAAAAUGAAUGAUAGAAAUUUGUGUGGUUGUAAAUCAUUUCAUUAAGGGUAAAAAAGACAUUUUAUAGGCAAAUUGUUACUUAAAAUAGAAAUGUGUCAUUCUUUUUGGGACUGACUAAAAAGGAAAGUGAGUCAUAUAAAUUGGGACAGAGGGAGUAUGAUAUAUGAUUUAAAUAAAAUAAAAGUAGGUGGGCCAGGGUGCCACGUGUCGAAAGAAGAGUGAAUUUUANNNNNNNNNNNNNNNNNNNNNNNNNNNNNNNNNNNNNNNNNNNNNNNNNNNNNNNNNNNNNNNNNNNNNNNNNNNNNNNNNNNNNNNNNNNNNNNNNNNNNNNNNNNNNNNNNNNNNNNNNNNNNNNNNNNNNNNNNNNNNNNNNNNNNNNNNNNNNNNNNNNNNNNNNNNNNNNNNNNNNNNNNNNNNNNNNNNNNNNNACUGAGAGACAGCGGGUGUGUAUCGUUAGGUCAGACAUGCAUCACUAUACUUGACAUUGCAUUUCAUUGCAUUGCACAUUUUUAUUAUUGAUGAACUUGAUCUUGUGUGUUGCUGAUCUUGUGAGUUCCUUUCUGUGAAACUAUUGAUGAAUAUUGAGUUGUUAUUGAGAAUAUAUAAUCUGUUAGAAUGUUGUUGUUGAGUUGUAUGCUUUGUAAACUGUGAACUGUUAGGUUGGACUGGUUUUAUGCAUGUUGUAGUUGUGGAGGUUAUGAUGGGGUGUAAGGAGUACCCGUAUUCUGUUCCCUUAGCUUGUGUUUAGAGGUUUGCUUGUUGAGUACCGUGUGGUUUGGUACUCACCCCUUUCUUCUACAAUAUUUUUUUAGGUUACGACCCCGGAUCUUCGUGAUACCUUCCAUUCUCUUCAUUUUCGAGGCUUUCUGUGGAGAUUUGAGAGGUAGCUGUUUGUCAUUUCAGUGAACCUUCUUACUCCUGUUUAUGAUUUUAUUUUUACUUGAAAGACAACGUCAUUUGAGACUUGCGUAUUUUAUUUCAAUUCUAGUAUUUAUAUUAGAGGUUUGUGCACGUGACAACCAGGUUUUGGGGAUUGAAUUAAGUUGACUUGUUUUCGUAAUAGUAAUUGUUAUUGAACUUUGUUUUAUUUUCGCACUUAUCAAAAUGAUUGGGUUUUAGGCCGACUUGUCUUGGUGGGAUACGACGAGUGCCAUCACAUUCAUUUUUGGGUCGUGACACCUUCUUUGUGUUGUUGCUCAACAAUCUGUCAAUGUUAGCAUGGAUGGAACGACUGCUGAUUUUCAAUUGUAUAGAGGGGGUACUCUUAUCUAUUACUCUUUUUUUACACAUUUUUUUGCCCUUUCUUCUUUCAAGAAUCUCAAAAAUGACGUGCACUUUGUCUUUUUGUAUUAUAAAAAUAUGCAGUGAAUCUAUGAUGGAAGUUGCUCUAGUAGUCCAGAUGACUUGAGCCAUGGCGUACUAAUAGUAGGAUAUAGUUCCGAAAGAGAUGAUAACUACUUGAUAAUCAAGAACUCAUGGGGUUCAUCAUGGAGAGUGGAGGGAUAUGGAUAUAUAAGAAGAAACAGUGAUUUGCCAUAUGGUAUUUGUGCCAUUAUUUCAUUGGCUUCUUAUCCGACAAAGAAAUUACUUUUGUAUUAACUCCUUAUCCAUCUCCGGCCGUUCUACCACCUCCUCCACCAUUUCCUCUGCCCUCUCCACCAUUGGUAUAUAGUUUUUUUUUAAUGUAUCAUUGUUAUAAUAUUAUUUUAUCAUUAUGUGAAUAUGUAAGUCAUGAUACAUUAGUGGUAAACAAUCCGCAUGUAAUGUAAUUUUGUAUCUAUAGAUUAUGAUGUGGUCAUUAUUUUGUAUCUGGAUGUGAUUUGUAUAAAAAUGUAUCUUCAUAAUAUAUUGUAUAUGAUACAUGUAAUAAAUGGAUUAACAAUUGGAACGGAUUAGAUACGUUUGUAUCAGGUUAUUAUUGUGUAUAUUGUACAUAUAAAUAGUGUAACAAUUGAGAUAUGUAAAUUACUUGUUUUGUAUCAAGACAAAUAUGGAUGAUACAUUAAUAUAUAUCAAUAUUGAAUUUUUGUGAAUGGUUGUAUCAUUGAUAAUUCUAAUGUACCCAAUACAUGACAUAAGAUGGUUACAAAAUUGUGCUGACAUGUGUUGGUUUGUUGUUAGAUAUGUGUUGCAUUGAAAAUUGAAAAAAAUGUAUUUCAUAUAAUGUAUCAUUGAAUUUUUUUAAUGUUUGCAGAUUAUUUCAUGUAGUCUGAGUUUUUAUGUAUCAAGAUUAUUAUUGGGUAAUAUGUACAUAUGCAUCGCAUUCUAAGUUGGAUAAGACCGAACAAAUAUUAAAAAGUGUAGAUACAUAACACAUAAGUGAUUUGUUACGGUCUAUAUAGCCUUUUAAAUUUGAAUAAGAUUGAUGAUUCGUUGAAAAACUUGAUACAUGCAAAUGAUACAUUAGGUAGUGUUUAUGUAUCAAGUACAUUUAUAUUGAACAUGAUAAAACUAAUUGAAGAUUCAACAACAUUAGGGUUAUAUAUCAACACCUUAAAUAUGAAUAUGAUACAUUGUAUAAAACAAGGAUGAACGAAGAAUCAGAUACGUUAGAGAAGUAAAGAUUGCUUGUAAAGUGUUUUAUAUCCUUUUAAAAUUAAAAAAUAUUGAUGAUACAUUAUAAAACUUGAUAUAUUGUAAAUGAUACAUUAAGCAUUACUUCUGUAUCAAGUAUAUAAGUAUUGCACAUGAAACUCACUAGUCGAAUAUUCAACAAUAUUAGAAUUAUGUAUCAAUGUAAUAAAUAUAUACCUGAUGCAUUACAUAAAACAUAAAUUUAUUGUAGCAUUAAUGUAUCCAAAAUUUCAUACCACUAACAAAGGUUAAUUUAAGAAACAAAAUAAACAAGAUACAUUGAGAAUCAAUAACUUUGAUAAAGAUAGGCGUGAAGAUGCAUCCUUCUUCGAUCUUGCCUUCUCCAACAAAGUCAACAUCUAUCUUUUCAACAAAGGCUACCAAGUUCCCCAUAUCCUUAUUGUCCCUGUGUAUUUUGUUCCCUUCUGGAUUUCAUUCUCAUUAGGCUAGACUAUGUCAUCAACUACAAUAUUACGAUAUUGGGUCAACAUGUCAAGUAUGGUAGGCUUAUUCUGCACACACUUUUUUCAUACGUUACCAACAUGUGCCCACUGAGACUUGAAUUAACAUUAGUAAAUUGAUGAUGAAAAAUCAAAAAAAAAACAAAAGAUAUUGAACGGCGAAAAUCAAGGAAGACGAAAAUUACCUAUUCAAGAAGUUGAAAUUGAUUUGAGUGGAGAGAGAGCGAUUUUGAAUUUCAAAUUGUUAGAAAGGAAUUAAUUGAUAAGAUUGUGGGAGUGAAGUUAGGGAGAUAUUAAUGGAGUGAAUUAAGGAAGAGAAACGCUAGUUUUGGGAGUAUGAAGUUAUGUAUCAGGAGGUUAGAAUUUGGGAGUAAAAUAAGGAAUUUUGGUAAUAUUUUAAAAUUGUAGGGAAUAAUAGAAACUAUGGUAAAUAAAUGUGUGUAGAUAGGUAAUUUUUCCUACUAAAAACCUCUAAAAUCUCUUAUUUCUCUCAUAAUUCUAAAUUAUUUUAUAAUGUAUUCGAGCUAAUUUUUAAUGUAUCCGAGCUACAUAUUAUGUAUCCAAUUUAUUUUAUAAUGUAUCCGAGCUACAUAUUAUGUAUCCGAUUUAUUUUAUAAUGUAUCCGAGCUACAUAUUAUGUAUCCGAUUUAUUUUAUAAUGUAUCCGAGCUACAUAUUAUGUAUCCGAUUUAUUUUAUAAUGUAUCCGAGCUACAUAUUAUGUAUCCGAUUUAUUUUAUAAUGUAUCCGAGCUACAUAUUAUGUAUCCGAUUUGUUUUACUUUUUCAGGGAUUAAUGUAAUUACAAACUAAAUAGGGAUAUAUUGUAAUUUCAUAUUAAAACUAUGUGAUUCCUAAAAUUUAUACAUAAUAAUUUACUGGUUUUAGCGACAUUUUUUUAUUUAUUACCAUUUAUAUCUAAACAUAUCAUUCCUAAGAUAAAUAUGCUAUGUAUUAAAAGUGAAUUAUACAUGCAAUAUAAAUGUAUUAUAAGUGUUUUAAAAUAUAUUAUGCUUGUCUGGUAAGAAAUUUACACAAUGUAUUAUAAAUGUACUAAAGUGUGUUAUAAAUGUAUUAUCCAUGAUUAAAACUUGUAGUAUACAUGUUUUAUAAAUGUAUUAUCCAUGAUUAAAACGUGUAGUAUACAUGUUUUAUAAAUUGGUUUCUGUAACAUGUAUUAAAACUAUAUUAUAAAUGUAUUAUAAGUGUACAAUGAAAAAAAUGUUAUUAAUAUAGAUGAUACAUAUUUUUUAAAUAUAGCAUAUCUAUGUAAGUUUUCUUGUUCUUCCUCAACAAAGUGGAUGAAACCGAAGAAUCCAAAUCCUUUCCCAACAUGUAAAUUAGGCGGGAUAGACAACUUUUGAGACGACAAUCAAAUUUUAGUCAUUGUUUUAAAUAUAAUAAAAAAUAUAACUAUUUUUUAUCACGAAAGUAAUAUUCGAAUACCCUUAUUUAAAACAUGGGAUAACACCAACACACAAUAUUAAGAUUCAAAAUUUUCAUUAAAAAAAUCUUAAAAUUUAAAAUUCCAGAAACAAUUCAUAAAAUUCGAACCUUAUAAUAAGUUCUCGAUAGAUUUGGUGAUAUGAAAAAUCCUAGUAAUUGAUGAUAUGGAAAAUUCCUAGACAAGAAGAUCCUAUAUGAUAGUCCUUGUUACUUGUAUGUUGAUCAUGAUUCUUUUUUUUUUUCGAAUCUUCAAAUACAAUGAGUGCUCACUUUUUUCCCCAUGAUGUAACAUAUUUAGAGAUUCCCAUUGUUCAGUCUUUGGAAAAAAAAAAUUGUUGUUAUUGUACAAAGUGAUGGAUUCAGAAAAUUUAUAUUAUGGGUGAUUAAUUAUUUUUAGCUUGGAAAUUGCUACAUAAAACAGGUGCUCAAUUAAUAUAUUUUAAUGAAUUACUAAAUUUAGGCAGUAGGUGCUUAAGCACCCAUAAUGUGCAAGAUAUUAGGUCCGCCACUGGUUGUACAUAUUCUUAUUCAACCUAUAUCGUGUAUAAUAAUUUAUAUGUAUGAGGGGCGAACAAAAUUAUUAAAUAUGUAUAUAUAAUUAAAAAGCUAGAACAAAAACGAAGAUAAAUGUAAUAUAGUGACACUAGUUGACAUAUUGCAACUCAAUCGAUCGAUUCAAGUACUUCAUUUUCAAACUUAACCGUGGACCUCUUGGAGGAUAGCAAAAUCCUCAAUCAAUAAUAACAUAUAUUGUAUUAGGCGAUAAAAUCUCCUCUCGGAUAUAUCCCUAUCAGCUAUUCCUUCUCGGAUAUAUUCCUUCCAUUAAGUAAUGUAGCAUUUGUAAUGUAUCAGACAACCAAGAACUGUAUUUGAGAGCAAUAAAAAAUUUAAAAUUUUUGUAAUUGGAAAAACUCUCAGAAUAGAAUGUAAUUAAGCCCAAAAUGUAUGUGAUGUUUGUGCUUUAUACUGGUAAUAAUUAUGCUCCUGCUUCCCUAAUUAGUUGAGUUAAAAGUUUGAGUUUCCUAAUGAGAAUAUUUUGAGUUCAUUUCCAAAAAUGAAAAAUCAUCAAGUUAAGUGAUGAUAUUAAUAUAUGUACAUAGUAUUUUAUUUAUAUUAUGCUCUAUUUAUAUGUACAUAGUAUUUUAUUUAUUUAUAUUAUGCUCUAUUUGUAACAUAACCUAUAAUGUUUAUUUAUUUAUUUUAUUUAUAUAUAAUAUCACUUAAAAAAACCCAUCAUACGUAAGGUACUGAUAGCCACACUACAAAUUUUUAUGUGGUGAUUAACUAUCAUUUUCCACCAAAAUCCAAAUUGCCUCUUAAGUCCAUCACUCAAUUAAUCUCAACCCUAAAAAAUAAUAUACAGUUGUCAUUUCAUGACCAUAUAUAUAUUUUAAGAAAAGUACUUUAAUUAAUAGUUCAUAGUCUAUUUUCUACUCAUGGUGUUUUGUUGUUGAGAGUUCAAAUAUAUGUCAUUUUUUGAAAAGUAUUUACUUCCAUUAAUAUUUUCCUUUAUAAUUUACAGAUGAAAAUGAAGGGAACUCAUGAAUAUUAUCACAAGAAAAUGUUGAUAAGAUAAGACAGGCUCUUCUUCUAUGGCCUCUCAAAUCCCUAUUUUGGAUAAGAUAAGACCCCACAAAAAUAUUAUAAUACUAUCCAUAAUAUAUAUUUUAUAUUUAUCUAUUUUAUUCCAUUUUCCAAUAAAUAAAUAAAAACCAAUCAUCUACCUAUCCUUUUAUCUUUAACAGACAUUUGUCACCAUGGAUAUACUUCACCAUGAUAUAAUUGUCCUUUCUAUAAAAACAAAAAAAAUACAAUAAAUACUCUAAAAAUGAUUGAUUUAAAUUAAUUAUUAUUUUAUAUUUAUCUUUACUCAAUAAAAACAAAGAAAUUAAUAUAGUAAAAAUAAUAAUAUUAAAUUAAAACUAACGAAUAAACAAAUAAUUUAGUCAAAUUAAUUUUUGAUUAAUAUUUUUUAAAUAGCGUGCCAAACAGAAUAUAAUAAGUAAAAUAAAUAGAUUGUUUUUGUUGGGUGAUAAAUAGAUAGUUAUAUAUAUUGAUAACAAACUAAUUAUUAGUAAUACUCUAUAGAAGCUAAGAAGACAUAUAUUAGUAAUAUAUGGAUUAAACUAACUUUAAUUGUAGUAAGAAUUUUUUAAAUUUUGUUUAAAAAGUAAACAUUUCACAAAAAUAAAAAGAUAUUUAAUUAUUUUUCUCUAAUUUGUGACAUGUCCCUAAUCCCUGUGAUAAUGAAGUCAACCUAAAAAGAAGGGGGAAAAAAAUCAUAACUAAGGGUAUUGAUCUAUAUAUUAUAAUAAUUCCUACAUUACUAAUCUGCAUAAUUAUUAUAAUUACUAGCAUUAUACUUAUACUUGUCUCAUAACCAAACAACCCCUUACUAAUUGAUUAAUGGGAACUUGAUUAAUUAACUCAUAUUGUAGUAAAUAUGGUUAAAUAAUUCACCACCAUAUUUUUGUGAUGCCUAAUUAAUUUGUUACAUAUUAAGCUCAAGUUAAAGCCUAAUUAAAUGCUUAAUUAUAUAAGCUAACAUAUGAUAGCAUCAUUAGUUGGAUUUGGGAUAUAUUGGCAAUCCUCAAAAUAUUAGAAAUUGAUACGAAAUUAAAAUACAUAGAUGAAAAUGGAAAACUUAUUUUAAAACUUCAAGAGAAUGGAAAACACUAAUCUUCAUCAACUAGUCUAUGCUCUAAACAUCUCAAUUUAUAUGACAUAAUUUUAUCAACUUAUCUAAAAAAAUAUUAUUACUUUACUUGAAUCGAAAAUCUAUCUGAAACAACUCUCUACUUUACUCACAAGGUAAAGAUAAGUUCUGCAUACAUAUCAUUCUCUUCAAAUUUCACUUGUAAAAUUACAAUGAUUAUACUAUUUUUAUAAAAUAAAAUUUUACUUUUUAGAGUAAAAAGAAACCGCAACCUUAAAGUUUCUCUUAUACUAAAAAAUGUCUUAAAAUUAAUUAGAUCACACAUUCUUAAAAGAGAGAAGUAUUGAAAACUCCACUGGAACAUGGCGCAAAUUAUUAGAUUCAUUCUCGAAUUAUUGACAGUCUUAAAAACACUCAUCUACUUGACUAACUAGACUUAGAGACAUCCUCGAUAUACUCUUUAUCUCCACAUAACAUAGCAAGUGAUGUGCAGGAGCAUGAGACUAGUAAUAAAAAAGUCGAGAGAAGUGUUGAAAACACUCCUAAAUUUGACGAGAUUUUAGGAGUGUAUUUGAGUUUAGUUAGUCAAGUAAAAUUGUAUUUUUAAAACUGUCAAUAAUUUAGGGAUGAAAUAAAUAAUUAUCGUCAAAUUUAAAAGUACUUUCAAUACUUCACUCUUUUAAAAAAAUUACAGUAUAUUAUAUGAAGUAAUAAGAUGUCACAUAAUUUGAAACAAAGAUAAUACGGUUAUAAUAUUCCUUGGGUAAGAAAAGUAAAUAAAAAUUGUGAAAUACUAGUAGGAUAUUUUAGGAAAAAGACAAAUAAAUCGAAAUAAUACGAACCGUUCAUUCGUCACCUGAAAAAACCCCCCCUCCAUUUUUAACUCCUCUUCUUCUCUUACAAACUUCUCUGUUCAGUGUACUUCUCUGUUCACAAGUCACUAUUUUCUCUCCCUUCUCUCUCACUGCCAAUGGAGUCUCGCGUGUUGACUGGUGGCGCCCCCGCCAUUCGCGGCGGUCUCCCACUUCUCCGGAAGCCGGCGGCAGUGAUGAAGUUCACCACUGCCGCCACAUGCGGCAUCAACAGGGACUUCCCUGCUGGUGCUGUUACGGCAAAACCAGUCGGACCUCUAAUUGCCGGCCCCAAUUUGAUUUGGGGACGACAAUUACGUCCGGCUAUUCUUCUCGAAACUUCACCAAAAAGGGAAUCCAUUAAGCCGUGC
rnacentral:lncRNA from 1 species